rnacentral:rRNA from 1 species
ACAACAAUAAGCGGAGGAAAAGAAACCAACAGGGAUUGCCCUAGUAACGGCGAGUGAAGCGGCAACAGCUCAAAUUUGAAAUCUGGCUCUUUCAGAGUCCGAGUUGUAAUUUGCAGAGGGCGCUUUGGCGUUGGCAGCGGUCCAAGUUCCUUGGAACAGGACGUCACAGAGGGUGAGAAUCCCGUACGUGGUCGCUGGCCUUCGCCGUGUAAAGCCCCUUCGACGAGUCGAGUUGUUUGGGAAUGCAGCUCUAAAUGGGAGGUAAAUUUCUUCUAAAGCUAAAUACUGGCCAGAGACCGAUAGCGCACAAGUAGAGUGAUCGAAAGAUGAAAAGCACUUUGGAAAGAGAGUCAAAUAGCACGUGAAAUUGUUGAAAGGGAAGCGCUUGCAGCCAGACUUGCCUGUAGUUGCUCAUCCGGGCUUUUGCCCGGUGCACUCUUCUGCGGGCAGGCCAGCAUCAGUUUGGGCGGUUGGAUAAAGGUCUCUGUCAUGUACCUCUCUUCGGGGAGGCCUUAUAGGGGAGACGUCAUACAACCAGCCUGGACUGAGGUCCGCGCAUUUUGCUAGGAUGCUGGCGUAAUGGCUGUAAGCGGCCCGUCUUGAAACACGGACCAAGGAGUCUAACAUCUAUGCGAGUGUUUGGGUGUCAAGCCCGAACGCGUAAUGAAAGUGAACGGAGGUGGGACCCCAUUAGGGUGCACCAUCGACCGAUCCUGAUGUCUUCGGAUGGAUUUGAGUAAGAGCAUGGCUGUUGGGACCCGAAAGAUGGUGAACUAUGCUUGAAUAGGGUGAAGCCAGAGGAAACUCUGGUGGAGGCUCGCAGCGGUUCUGACGUGCAAAUCGAUCGUCAAAUUUGGGCAUAGGGGCGAAAGACUAAUCGAACUAUCUAGUAGCUGGUCUGC